rnacentral:tRNA from 1 species
GCCUUCUUAGCUCAGUGGUAGAGCAGUGGUCUCGUAAACCAGGGGUCGUGAGUUUGACCCUCACAGAAUGCA